rnacentral:rRNA from 1 species
CCUACGGGAGGCAGCAGUGAGGAAUAUUGGACAAUGGGCGCAAGCCUGAUCCAGCCAUGCCGCGUGCAGGAAGAAGCAUCUAUGGUGUGUAAACUGCUUUUGUACAGGAAGAAACACUCCCUCGUGAGGGAGCUUGACGGUACUGUAAGAAUAAGGACCGGCUAACUCCGUGCCAGCAGCCGCGGUAAUACGGAGGGUCCGAGCGUUAUCCGGAAUCAUUGGGUUUAAAGGGUCCGUAGGCGGUUUAAUAAGUCAGUGGUGAAAUCUGGUCGCUCAACGAUCAAACGGCCAUUGAUACUGUUAGACUUGAAUUAUAAGGAAGUAACUAGAAUAUGUAGUGUAGCGGUGAAAUGCUUAGAUAUUACAUGGAAUACCAAUUGCGAAGGCAGGUUACUACUUAUGGAUUGACGCUGAUGGACGAAAGCGUGGGGAGCGAACAGGAUUAGAUACCCUGGUAGUCCACGCCGUAAACGAUGGAUACUAGCUGUUCGGAGCAAUUNUGUAGUGUGUAGAGAAGAGAGUAGUAGUACCGACCGCGGAGGUACGUCGUCGAGAGUUAGUAAAGUUAAAGUUAAGUUAGACGGCGNGAGAGNGCGACGGACGACGACGAGGGAGGAGG